UUAGAGUUUGAUCAUGGCUCAGGACGAACGCUGGCGGCGUGCUUAACACAUGCAAGUCGACGGGGAUCGAUCCGGAAGGGUUUCGGCCUGGAAGGAACGAUUCGAGUGGCGGACGGGUGAUAACGCGUGAGCAACCUGUCCCAGACAGGGGGAUAACACUUGGAAACAGGUGCUAAUACCCAUAAGACCACGGGGUCGCAUGGCCCAGGGGUAAAAGGUGCAAACCGGUUUGGGGUGGGCCGCGUCCGAUUAGAUAGUUGGUGAGGUAACGGCCCACCAAGUCGACGAUCGGUAGCCGACUGAGAGGGUGAUCGGCCACAUUGGAACUGAGAGACGGUCCAAACUCCUACGGGAGGCAGCGUGGGGAAUAUUGGGCAAUGGGCGAAAGCCUGACCCAGCAACGCCGCGUGAGUGAUGAAGCCUUCGGGUUGUAAAGCUCUGUUAUAGGGGACGAAGGAAGUGACGGUACCCUAUAAGGAACCCCGGCUAACUACGUGCCAGCAGCCGCGGUAAUACGUAGGGGGCGAGCGUUGUCCGGAAGACUGGGCGUA
rnacentral:rRNA from 1 species